GACGAACGCUGGCGGCGUGCCUAAUACAUGCAAGUCGAGCGCAGGAAACUGACGGAACUCUUCGGAGGGAAGGCAGUGGAAUGAGCGGCGGACGGGUGAGUAACACGUAAGGAACCUGCCUCAAGGAUUGGGAUAACUCCGAGAAAUCGGAGCUAGUACCGGAUAGUUCAUCGGACCGCAUGGUCCGCUGAUGAAAGGCGCUCCGGCGUCACCUUGAGAUGGCCUUGCGGUGCAUUAGCUAGUUGGUGGGGUAACGGCCCACCAAGGCGACGAUGCAUAGCCGACCUGAGAGGGUGAUCGGCCACACUGGGACUGAGACACGGCCCAGACUCCUACGGGAGGCAGCAGUAGGGAAUCUUCCACAAUGGGCGAAAGUCUGAUGGAGCAACGCCGCGUGAGUGAUGAAGGUUCUCGGAUCGUAAAACUCUGUUGUAAGGGAAGAACACGUACGAGAGGGAAUGCUCGUACCUUGACGGUACCUUACGAGAAAGCCACGGCUAACUACGUGCCAGCCGCCGCAGUAA
rnacentral:rRNA from 1 species